GACGGAGGUGGCAAGCGUUAUUCGGAUUUAUUGGGCGUAAAGGGCGCGUAGGCGGUUUGGUAAGUCUGAUGUGAAAUCUCCAUCGCUCAACGAGGAAAUUGCAUCGGAUACUGCCAAUCUUGAGUAUGGAAGAGGUAAGUAGAAUUCCAGGUGUAGCGGUGGAAUGCGUAGAUAUCUGGAGGAAUACCGGUGGCGAAGGCGGCUUACUGGUCCAUAACUGACGCUGAGGCGCGAAAGCGUGGGGAGCAAACAGGAUUAGAUACCCUGGUAGUCCACGCUGUAAACGGUGUACACUAGGUGUGGGAAGAGUCUAUCUUUCCGUGCCGUAGCAAACGCAUUAAGUGUACCGCCUGGGGAGUACGGCCGCAAGGUUGAA
rnacentral:rRNA from 1 species